GACGAACGCUGGCGGCGUGCUUAACACAUGCAAGUUGAACGGUAUGACAUGGAAGCUUGCUGAAGUGUCAUAUAGUAGCGGACGGGUGAGUAAUGCAUGAGAAGCUGCCAUUGGGAGGGGGACAACAGUUGGAAACGGCUGCUAAUACCCCGUAUGCCGGAAGGUGAAAGGGAGAAAUCCGCCUGAUGAGGUGCUCAUGUCCUAUCAGCUGGUUGGUGGGGUAACGGCCUACCAAGGCGACGACGGGUAGCCGGCCUGAGAGGGUGAACGGCCACACUGGAACUGAGAUACGGUCCAGACUCCUACGGGAGGCAGCAGUGGGGAAUAUUGGGCAAUGGGGGCAACCCUGACCCAGCGACGCCGCGUGAGGGAAGACGGCCUUCGGGUUGUAAACCUCUUUUGUACGGGAAGAAGGAAGUGACGGUACUGUACGAAUAAGUCCCGGCUAACUACGUG
rnacentral:rRNA from 1 species